rnacentral:rRNA from 1 species
AUGGCUCAGGAUGAACGCUGGCGGCGUGCUUAACACAUGCAAGUCGAACGAAGCGCAUUGUUUGAAUUCUUCGGAAGGAAGAUAAUGUGACUGAGUGGCGGACGGGUGAGUAACGCGUGGGUAACCUGCCAUGUACAGGGGGACAACAGUUGGAAACGGCUGCUAAUACCGCAUAAGCGCACGAGAUUGCAUGAUCUAGUGUGAAAAACUCCGGUGGUAUAUGAUGGACCCGCGUCUGAUUAGCUAGUUGGUAAGGUAACGGCUUACCAAGGCGACGAUCAGUAGCCGACCUGAGAGGGUGACCGGCCACAUUGGGACUGAGACACGGCCCAGACUCCUACGGGAGGCAGCAGUGGGGAAUAUUGCACAAUGGGCGAAAGCCUGAUGCAGCGACGCCGCGUGAACGAAGAAGUAUUUCGGUAUGUAAAGUUCUAUCAGCAGGGAAGAAGAAAUGACGGUACCUGACUAAGAAGCCCCGGCUAACUACGUGCCAGCAGCCGCGGUAAUACGUAGGGGGCAAGCGUUAUCCGGAUUUACUGGGUGUAAAGGGAGCGCAGGCGGCCCGGCAAGUCUGAUGUGAAAACCCAAGGCUCAACCAUGGGAUUGCAUUGGAAACUGUCGAGCUAGAGUAUCGGAGGGGUAAGUGGAAUUCCUAGUGUAGCGGUGAAAUGCGUAGAUAUUAGGAGGAACACCAGUGGCGAAGGCGGCUUACUGGACG